UUAAAGGCUAACUGCAAAAUAGCAACGUCCGACUUUGUAACUGUCAGGAAUAAACCCGGUUCUUAUAAAGAACAUAUUCCAUCACGCCAGCAACCGCAGGACGGAUGUUCAUCAUCAUCAUCAUCUUCAUCCUCUCAUUAACAUCUGACACCCGGGGUACAGUGGGGCCAGUAAGCAGCGGAUGCGGCUGGCGCCCGGCUGCGGGCGGCCCUCUCAAUGGUCUCUCCCACCAUGAAAGCGUUGGUGGAUGCCGCAUGGUUGGUGUGGAGCAUCGGGGCCUCCGUCUAUGACUACAUCCACACCAACGCCAUGGAGGAGCGCAUCCACGCCCUGGAGGACGUCAUCACCGUCCACCAAUGUGCGAUUGGACUUCUGUCCGCAGGCGUUUUGGUCCUCUUCACCUACAUCCUCUUCAAGAAGCUCUGAAGAUGCGUCCAAGCGCGGUAAAGCAGACACUGACCAGACAGACCAGGGGGGAGGAUUUUUACACAUUCGGUACAUGUUCUUAACACAUUUUAAUAUUUUUUCUCAGGUUUGACACAAAAAAGUGUCAAACACACCAUUAUAGCAGCAGUAAACCGGUCAAUUUGCUUCUUUUUUCUUUUUAAUAGCCCAACAAUAUAUCAGCAAACCAGUACACACACUGUACACUCUACAGCAGUAUUUCAAACUCCAUUUUCACGAAGAAGCUGAAAAUGUGUCUUGGUAAUUCCCCAAUUUGCUAAAGGGAUCAUUAUUUGUCAUAACAAAUUCUGCCUUUAUGUGUCGUCUUCAUGUUUGCACUAAUUUCCUCAAAGCCUGACAGAUUUCGUGAAAAGCUUAUUCCCCCUGAACCUCGUAUCUUCAGUGUAGAGGAACUUUAAUAUCUCAGAGGUCAUUUCUAAAAAUGCCAAAUUCCAGGAAGAACUCGAGCUAAUUUCUUCAAAUUUGGCACAAAUGUCCACUUGGACUCAAGGUUGAACUGAUUAGUUUGGUGGUCAAAAGUCAAGGUGAUUGUGGCCAUAAUUCAGUAAUUAAUAUGCACAUUAUGUAAAUUCCCCACAAAUGUCAAAUAGGAUAAAAUGACAUUGUGACGUUUUUGACAGACAUGGAUGUAAACUGUUACUUGACUGGCCGGUGGUUCUACUUCCUUUUGUCUUGGAGUGUCGGAUGAAAGAAAACAUCCUAAAAUCCAUUGUGAUAGAAUAUUAUGGGUGUAUUAUUCAUAUUAUUAGACUUCAUGAUCUAUUUAUAUAAUGCUUUCUAAAUAAACCUCUUAUAUACCUCAUAGUUGAUACGUUACUGUAGGUGCCACUGCUGGCACACACACUACAAUUUGAAGUACAUGGAAAGUCUUUUCGUAAGCUGGCCAUUGAAAUGUUUCAGAGUGCUGCUGCUGCUUGAUGUUUAUGGAUAUGUUGUUUUGUACCAUGAAAGUGGAUCUAAUUAAUUUUAGAGUAUAAAGAGUUUUUUUUUGUUACAGUAACUUAAAUUAACUUCCCUAACCUGCAAAGAGAAGCUGUUUAAAGAAGUAGUGCCUCAUUGAGAUCUAAUGUCAUGUGCUGUGUGUUUAUCUGUGUACAUUUGUAAUGUCACUGCCUCAGAGGGACCACAACAGAGAAACACCCCACAAUGAAAGACUGUUUUAAUAUCGCCACAAGAGCAUCACAGCGUGUCCUCUCCAAAGGUCAAAUAAAUGUGGGAUUCAAAUAAAACGGGACAUCUUUACGAUACAUGUGACCAACAUCAGUCUGGUGUCGAAUGCAGCGCCAACGACUGUAAAUGAAAAGUUAUGAAUUACAGCUGUAGAAUACAGCCGCUUAAAAGCUGCAAAUAUCAGAGGCAGCUCAAUCAAGAACACUCCCCCCUCCCCCCCCCCAAACUUUUUUUUUUCUUAAUGGACAGUAAACUUCAGAAACUGCAAUACUGGCAUAAUAAUAAUAAUUCAUGGAUGGGCACAGCUCCAAUGGUCUACAGGACCGGGACGAACACCCGCUUCUUCGGCUGAUGAACUUCUACCUACUACGUUCUAUACUUGGACACUUCGUGGCGACUCAUAAGUGUCCGGUCUGCAUCAGCGUGUACUUGGAAGUGAAGCUCUCCACGCUCUCCCCCUCCAGGAACUUCAUGGCUCUCCAGUGGAUCUUGCCGCAGUUCUCUGGCUGUCCGAGGGGCCCCAGCUCCUCCUGGAUGUACUGCAGCCACAGAUCUUCGGGGGAAAUAAAAACAGAAAAUAUUUAAAAAAAGAAAAAGGCAGUGCUGUUUGCUAGAUGGAAACUUGGUAUUUCCUCGAUACUUGAUUGAGAGGAUAUUGUGAAUAAAUAUUUUUCAACUAA